AGAACUCCUUUUGGGUUGCCCGCAGGAGUGGCAGAGGCCCAGGUGCAUUGGAACUGGGUCAGGAGCAGAGCAGACUGAUUCAAGCUAGUACACAUAUGGCAUGCUGGCACUACAGGUGGCGGUUUAACUUGCUCAACCAUUAUGCUGGCACCUUAAAAAAAAAAAAAAGGAAAAGGUAAUUCUAUUCAUAAAUAAUGUGUACUAAUUUUAGGCAUUCUGUGGCUCUCUGAAGCAGUUCAUUCAAACCAGAAUCCCAAAUGUUACUACCAGAAUGAAUGUGGAACUUUGGGAGUUUGAGAUAAUUGACUUUCAUGGGUGCAACUAACCAUCCAAAGGUACUUAAA